rnacentral:rRNA from 1 species
UGAGGAAUAUUGGUCAAUGGGCGAGAGCCUGAACCAGCCAAGUAGCGUGCAGGAUGACGGCCCUAUGGGUUGUAAACUGCUUUUAUAAGGGAAUAAAGUGAGUCUCGUGAGACUUUUUGCAUGUACCUUAUGAAUAAGGACCGGCUAAUUCCGUGCCAGCAGCCGCGGUAAUACGGAAGGUCCGGGCGUUAUCCGGAUUUAUUGGGUUUAAAGGGAGCGUAGGCCGGAGAUUAAGCGUGUUGUGAAAUGUAGACGCUCAACGUCUGCACUGCAGCGCGAACUGGUUUCCUUGAGUACGCACAAAGUGGGCGGAAUUCGUGGUGUAGCGGUGAAAUGCUUAGAUAUCACGAAGAACUCCGAUUGCGAAGGCAGCUCACUGGAGCGCAACUGACGCUGAAGCUCGAAAGUGCGGGUAUCGAACAGGAUUAGAUACCCUGGUAGUCCGCACGGUAAACGAUGGAUGCCCGCUGUUGGCCUGAAUAGGUCAGCGGCCAAGCGAAAGCAUUAAGCAUCCCACCUGGGGAGUACGCCGGCAACGGUGAAACUCAAAGGAAUUGACGGGGGCCCGCACAAGCGGAGGAACAUGUGGUUUAAUUCGAUGAUACGCGAGGAACCUUACCCGGGCUUGAAUUGCAGAGGAAGGAUUUGGAGACAAUGACGCCCUUCGGGGCCUCUGUGAAGGUGCUGCAUGGUUGUCGUCAGCUCGUGCCGUGAGGUGUCGGCUUAAGUGCCAUAACGAGCGCAACCCCUCUCCUUAGUUGCCAUCAGGUCAUGCUGGGCACUCUGGGGACACUGCCACCGUAAGGUGUGAGGAAGGUGGGGAUGACGUCAAAUCAGCACGGCCCUUACGUCCGGGGCUACACACGUGUUACAAUGGCAGGUACAGAGAGACGGUCCCUUGCAAAAGGGAUCAAAUCCUCAAAGCCUGUCUCAGUUCGGACUGGGGUCUGCAACCCGACCCCACGAAGCUGGAUUCGCUAGUAAUCGCGCAUCAGCCAUGGCGCGGUGAAUACGUUCCC